rnacentral:rRNA from 1 species
CGCGGCCUAUCAGCUUGUUGGUGAGGUAACGGCUCACCAAGGCAUCGACGGGUAGCUGGUCUGAGAGGACGAUCAGCCACACUGGAACUGAGACACGGUCCAGACUCCUACGGGAGGCAGCAGCAGGGAAUCUUGCGCAAUGGGCGAAAGCCUGACGCAGCGACGCCGCGUGGGGGAUGAAGGCCUUCGGGUUGUAAACCCUUUUCAGGAGGGAAGAAAAUGACGGUACCUCCAGAAGAAGCCCCGGCCAACUACGUGCCAGCAGCCGCGGUAAUACGUAGGGGGCGAGCGUUGUCCGGAUUUAUUGGGCGUAAAGGGCUCGUAGGCGGCUUGACAAGUCGGCCGUGAAAACCCAGGGCUCAACCCUGGGAGGCCGGUCGAUACUGUCAUGGCUAGGGUCCGGUAGAGGAGAAUGGAAUUCCCGGUGUAGCGGUGAAAUGCGCAGAUAUCGGGAGGAACACCGACAGCGAAGGCAGCACUCUGGGCCGGUACUGACGCUGAGGAGCGAAAGCAUGGGGAGCAAACAGGAUUAGAUACCCUGGUAGUCCACGCCGUAAACGAUGGGCACUAGGCGUUGGGAGGAUUGACCCUCUCAGUGCCGUAGCUAACGCGUUAAGUGCCCCGCCUGGGGAGUACGG